UACGUAGGGGGCAAGCGUUAUCCGGAGUUACUGGGUGUAAAGGGAGCGUAGACGGCGAUGCAAGCCAGAUGUGAAAGCCCGGGGCUCAACCCCGGGACUGCAUUUGGAACUGUGUGGCUGGAGUGUCGGAGAGGCAGGCGGAAUUCCUAGUGUAGCGGUGAAAUGCGUAGAUAUUAGGAGGAACACCAGUGGCGAAGGCGGCCUGCUGGACGAUGACUGACGUUGAGGCUCGAAAGCGUGGGGAGCAAACAGG
rnacentral:rRNA from 1 species